rnacentral:rRNA from 1 species
UACAGAGGGUGCGAGCGUUGUCCGGAAUCACUGGGCGUAAAGGGCGCGUAGGUGGCCCGGUCAGUCCGUGGUGAAAGCGCGGGGCUCAACCCCGCGUCGGCCAUGGAUACUGCUGGGCUGGAGCACUGUAGAGGCAGGCGGAAUUCCGGGUGUAGCGGUGGAAUGCGUAGAGAUCCGAAAGAACACCGGUGGCGAAGGCGGCCUGCUGGGCAGUUGCUGACACUGAGGCGCGACAGCGUGGGGAGCAAACAGG